AAAUCAGAAGAUCCGUUUAUUUGUCCUCAGCUAUGCAUACAGAGUACACAUAUGUAGGAUCAGGUCUGUCCAUUUUCGUCAUUUUAAACAUUAUACUAAGUGUAUUUUAUGA
rnacentral:snRNA from 1 species